rnacentral:rRNA from 1 species
GAUGAACGCUGGCGGCGUGCCUAAUACAUGCCAGUCGAGCGAACGGACGAGAAGCUUGCUUCUCUGAUGUUAGCGGCGGACGGGUGAGUAACACGUGGAUAACCUACCUAUAAGACUGGGAUAACUUCGGGAAACCGGAGCUAAUACCGGAUGAUAUUUUGAACCGCAUGGUUCAAAAGUGAAAGACGGUCUUGCUGUCACUUAUAGAUGGAUCCGCGCUGCAUUAGCUAGUUGGUAAGGUAACGGCUUACCAAGGCAACGAUGCAUAGCCGACCUGAGAGGGUGAUAGGCCACACUGGAACUGAGACACGGUCCAGACUCCUACGGGAGGCAGCAGUAGGGAAUCUUCCGCAAUGGGCGAAAGCCUGACGGAGCAACGCCGCGUGAGUGAUGAAGGUCUUCGGAUCGUAAAACUCUGUUAUUAGGGAAGAACAUAUGUGUAAGUAACUGUGCACAUCUUGACGGUACCUAAUCAGAAAGCCACGGCUAACUACGUG